GUCGAUGGUAAUUUUAAAAUAUGAGUUUAGAAGCAUAUUUUUGUUUUUUUGAAAAAAAGGUCAAAGAAAGAAAUGAUCAGGUUGGGCUGGUGAAGUUUAAUGUGAUGUGUCCACUAUCAGUUUAUUUUAAAGAAAUUUAGACAACAUAGUAAAUAAAUCAAGGCUGCUUCAGUGAAAAGCAGGUUGAUUUUUGCAACUUGUGGUACUUGGAUGGUCACAAGGCCUGUGUUACUAGGCCCGAGGUGUGCCUGAAACGUAAAUCCUGAGGCCACUAAUAAGGAGCUCUGACUUCAAAUCCUCAAGGAUAUAAAGCAGCAGUCCUGUGGACUGAGUCGUGUUGCCUUGGGCUAUAGUUUUUUUACAGCCUCCUGGCUGAUACCCAGCAGAAGACCAGCACCUGAAGACAGAUCUGACAGUGACUGCUGACGGUGCCAGAGCAUCAUUUGUGAAGGUCAGAGACACUUAAAAACUGCUUUCAGCAUUCAGGAAAAACAAGAGAACCAGGAGCAAGGAAAAUACAUGAAAAAGAAUGGAAUAAUGUAAUUUCGAAUCUACAACGCUGUUCAAUGGAUACUGUGGAAGGAAUCUAGGAAAAUGAAUACCAAGAAAAAAAUCUACAGAAGACUUCUAAUAACUCAAGCCCCUGAAAGAACUCAAAACAAAGAUGCCAUUCAUCCCUUUGGUGGUGCUCUGUUUUCUUUGUGGAGUUUCAGCAGUCGUGGGCAAAUUCUUCUUACGUCUGAAGCUCUCCUAUAUUGCAUUAUCUGACCACUUUGGCUUCGUGGCUACCAGAGAUGAUCUUGUAAUGUGAGAGAAUUUGAUAUUGGUGUGUGUAAUGGUGGAUGAGAGCUACAAAUUUAGGGGUCACUGAGCACAGUUUACAAGAAGUAGUCUUGGCUGGUGUUUUUCCUACAAGGAAGUUGUUGCCUAUGAUCCUAAUUCUAAUUUGGAGGUGCAUUCUAAAUAGCCUUCUCUAUUACCUUUCCUCCCAAAAUUAGUCUUGAUUGACUUGUCUGCUCAUUUGCAUGAAGAACUGAAUUGUCACUCUUUUUACAGAUAAAUGAGAGAUUGAGUUUACUCAGCUCUGAAGAGAAAGGGCAUUUUGCUCCUUCUGGCCAAAAGGUACUCCUUGGUGACUGUGGCUGAGUGGGAGUGUUUGGGGGGUUGACCUUCACACGAUGUGCUGCAGCCCUACAGGGAACUCUCAACAAAAUUAGUUUUAAAAGGCUCAUCCAGGAAACACAUAUAGGAGCUUAUCACUCCAUGUUUUGAGCCCUCUCAGAGGUGCUAGACCUCCAGAGAGAGAAAGUGAGGCAUGUAAUAGGAGGGCAUAAACGACUCAGUGGUGACUCACUGUGGAGUCCUGACCACAGUCAGCACAUCUUGUUCCACUGCACUAAAUCCUAGGCCACAGACCAGUUCCUUGUUUUAAGAAAAAAAAUGUGCAAAACAAAUCACCUAAGGAGGAAAGACAAGGAGAAUGACCCGCCUUGAACAACCUGCCAGCUUUAUGGUACCUCUAUUUGCAAGUGAUUGUGUAAAUGCAAGUGAUUGUGUAAAUGGAAGGACAUAACAAGUUUUCUAAUACUCCAGCUGGUUACAGAUUAGGUCUGUUCUUGUGUACGUUUUAAAUUGAUGAGCAAAUAACAUCAUGGAAAACUCAGAGCCCGGAGGUUGACCUGUAACUAACUAUAAUGUUCGUAAAUUCUCUAUCUCUGUUUUCUUUUCUGCCUGAUUGAAGUCUGCUGUUACUU
rnacentral:lncRNA from 1 species